GGUUCUGUGGUGUAAUGGUUAGCACUUUGGACUUUUGAAUCCAAGGAUCGAGUUCAAAUCUCGGCAGGACCU